rnacentral:rRNA from 1 species
AACGAACGCUGGCGGCAGGCCUAACACAUGCAAGUCGAACGGGUGUAGCAAUACAUCAGUGGCAGACGGGUGAGUAACACGUGGGAACCUUCCUAGGGGUACGGAACAACUCAGGGAAACUUGAGCUAAUACCGUAUACGUCCGUGAGGAGAAAGAUUUAUCGCCCUUAGACGGGCCCGCGUCGGAUUAGGUAGUUGGUGGGGUAACGGCCUACCAAGCCUACGAUCCGUAGCUGAUCUUAGAGGAUGAUCAGCCACACUGGGACUGAGACACGGCCCAGACCCCUACGGGAGGCAGCAGUGGGGAAUCUUGGACAAUGGGCGCAAGCCUGAUCCAGCCAUGCCGCGGGAGGGAAGAAGGCCUUAGGGUUGUAAAGCUCUUUUACCAGGGACGAUAAUGACGGUACCUGGAGAAUAAGCCCCGGCAAACUUCGUGCCAGCCGCCGCCGUAACAC